UACGUAGGGCGCAAGCGUUGUCCGGAAUUAUUGGGCGUAAAGAGCUCGUAGGCGGCCAGUUGCGUCCGCUGUGAAAUCCCGGGGCUUAACCCCGGGCGUGCAGUGGAUACGGGCUGGCUAGAGGCAGGCAGGGGAGAACGGAAUUCCCGGUGUAGCGGUGAAAUGCGCAGAUAUCGGGAGGAACACCGGUGGCGAAGGCGGUUCUCUGGGCCGAUACUGACGCUGAGGAGCGAAAGCAUGGGUAGCGAACAGG
rnacentral:rRNA from 1 species